UAGUGCCUUCAUAACAGAGGCCCCAGAGAGAUCCUUCACUCCUUCUGCCAUGUAAGGACACAGAGAAAACACAGCAGUCUCUGAACCAGGAAACCAGACACAGAAUCUGCUGGUGUCUCCAUUUUGGACUUACCAGCUUCUAGAACUAUUCUCCUGAAACCAAGGCUUCCUGGGUCAUGGGUCAUCCGCUGCCUGCUUUGCCUCAACUGUGACUUUGGCUGAGGGUCUGCUUUUCAUCCCACCAUCAUGACCGAUUACCUGUGCUUGAGUCCUCAUGGAGCUUCCAUUUAGGACUGACUCAACUUUCACUUGCCAAAAUAAGCUGGGCACUCCCCUUGGCUGCCAUUGUGCAUCUAGGCCUAAUGGCCACAUGUCCCAAGUUUCUGACUUCUAAGACCACUUCCUCACUUGGAUGACAAGCCAUACGGUGGGUUGUGGGAUCUGGUUCCCUGAUCAAGAGCCAGAGAAACAAGAUGCAACAAUAGCCUUCUGGUGGGGUGAACUUAGAUUAAUGGAAUAGGAGCUGGGAAGAUAACACCCCACAACACUCUCCCUCUCACAGACUGCUUCAAAGGAUGAUUCUCCAGAUUACCUGUCCACAUGUGGCCAGUAUCCUGAGACUUCAAUGGCAGGCAUCUAGCACAGCACCCAGAAAAUAGUUGGUGCUUUAACUACCACAGACUCAGCAUGUUGCCUUGAACAAAGUUCAAAUGGCUUCAGACUCUGCAACCAGGGGUUCAGAACACCAAAGUUUUAAUAAAGCUUAUUCAUUAGCAUUGUGCUAUUAUGCAAGUCACUUAAAGUUUUUGUACAUCAGCUUUGUUCACUUAUAAAAUGGAAAUCAAUUUUUUUAAAUGUCUCCUCUUUGCAUAGAGUUGUAAGAACACAGGAGUAACAGAUGAGCAAGUACUUUGAAAAGUUGAAAGUACUAUCUAAAUAUAAUAUGUGGUUUUAUUAUUGUUAUGCCUUGGUUUGAUGUUGGAAAAUUUAAAAACUUACUAUAUACUCUGAACCCAGCUCAUCAAUCCAUCAAUCAAUAGAAGAAUCAAAACAGACUCGAAACUGAAGUUUUCAAAG